CCUUCGAUAGCUCAGUUGGUAGAGCGGUGGACUGUAGUUGUAAAUAAAUUGAUAUCCAUAGGUCGCUGGUUCAAAUCCGGCUCGAAGGA
rnacentral:tRNA from 1 species